rnacentral:misc_RNA from 1 species
GAUGAAGAACGCAGCGAAAUGCGAUAAGUAAUGUGAAUUGCAGAAUUCAGUGAAUCGUCGAAUCUUUGAACGCACCUUGCGCUCCUUGGUAUUCCGAGGAGCAUGCCUGUUUGAGUGUCAUUAAUAUAUCAACCCUUUUGGUUGAAUGUGGGUUUGCUGGCCGCUUUCGAGGUCAGCUCUCCUUAAAUGCAUUAGCGGACAACUUUUUUCCAAAUGCUCAUUGGUGUGAUAAUUAUCUACGCUAUUGACAUGAAGCAGGUUCAGCUUCUAAUAGUCCAUUGACUUGGACAAAUUUAUUAAUGUGACCUCAAAUCAGGUAGGAUUACCCGCUGAACUUAAGCAUAUCAAUAAGCGGAGGA